rnacentral:lncRNA from 1 species
UCCAUCCUCCUCUUCUGUUUUUAUAAAAGAGCCCCUAGCUGCUUCUCCUAAUUAAGGAAGAAAAGAGCCAAGAGUUAGACUUAAACAUAAAAAUGUUGUUGGAGAAGAGAAAUGACUAGAUCAAAUAAAUUUUAGAGAGAAACAAAUAGAGAAGAAAGUUUACCAUAUGUAAGAGAAAGAAAGUAGGAGAUGGAAAAGUAAACACGGUGUCAGAGAGUAGGAGAGCAAGCUCAAUCCAAGCGGGGGAGUAGAGGAUAGAGAGAGGUAUGUCAAGAUAGAGAAGGCAAUGAAGAAAAGGUGUAAGAGGCACGGGGCCAUGGAGGGGGGGAGAAAGAGGCUAUGGGUGGCAUUAUCUCACUGGUUUAAUUGGGGCAGCCAACCAAGAAAAUCCAAAGUCUUUCCACAAGAGUAGACUUUCUUCGAAUUUUUGAUUUGUUGAGCUCAAAGGCAUCUGAUAGAGUAUGAAUGAGUAAAAGCUUGAAUAGAAUUUGAAGAAGAAGAAGAAAAUGUAGCUCCAUGCCUCUGCUCAUCAUCAAUAUUCAAUUUCAAUUCUAGUGAUAACAUGAGAAAAAUUGACUUGCAUAGUUAUAGAAGCUUAUGUUGGCUGCCAAGGAGCACACUAAGAUUCUCUCCAACAUAGUAUUUACCAUCAUGAGCCAAAUUAAUCAUAAGAGCAACAGUCUUAUUUGAGCCUAGUGCAUUCAUCCAACCCAAAGUAAAUGUAAAGAGAAAACAAGAAUUAAAAAUAAAACCCUCAGGUGCACUUGGCCGACCGACAUCACUAGGCAGUUAAAGAUGCAAGUGGCCAACUGAUCCUUUAAAUGUAUCCCGAACACAAUAUGGGCUUCUUAUUGGUCAUCAGAAUUCCUAAGGAGGAGGGAAUUG